AAUGAACGCUGGCGGCAUGCCUAACACAUGCAAGUCGAACGAAGGCUUCGGCCUUAGUGGCGCACGGGUGCGUAACGCGUGGGAAUCUGCCCUCAGGUUCGGAAUAACAGCGAGAAAUUGCUGCUAAUACCGGAUGAUAUCGCGAGAUCAAAGAUUUAUCGCCUGAGGAUGAGCCCGCGUAGGAUUAGCUAGUUGGUGUGGUAAAGGCGCACCAAGGCGACGAUCCUUAGCUGGUCUGAGAGGAUGAUCAGCCACACUGGGACUGAGACACGGCCCAGACUCCUACGGGAGGCAGCAGUGGGAAAUAUUGGACAAUGGGCGAAAGCCUGAUCCUGCAAUGCCGCGUGAGUGAUGAAGGCCUUAGAGUUGUAAAGCUCUUUUACCCGGGAUGAUAAUGACAGUACCGGGAGAAUAAGCUCCGGCUAACUCCGUGCCAGCCGCCGCGGUAA
rnacentral:rRNA from 1 species